rnacentral:tRNA from 1 species
GCUCCCUUAGCUCAGCUGGAUAGAGCAACUGCCUUCUAAGCAGUCGGUCGAUGGUUCGAAUCCAUCAGCGGGCGUCA